CCCCUAGAUGUUCUGGGCCGCACGCGCGCUACACUGAACAGUUCAACAAGUCUUAACCUUGGCCGAUAGGUCUGGGUAAUCUUUGAACGCUGUUCGUGAUUGGGAUAGACCUUUGCAAUUAUGGGUCUUCAACGAGGAAUUCCUAGUAAACGCAAGUCAUCAGCUUGCAUUGAUUACGUCCCUGCCCUUUGUACACACCGCCCGUCGCACCUACCGAUUGAAUGGUCCGGUGAAUAAUUCGGACUGCAGCACUGCUUGGUCUCCAGGCUUUGCAGCGGAAAGUUUAGUGAACCUUAUCACUUAGAGGAAGGAGAANUCGUANCA
rnacentral:rRNA from 1 species